AGCGCAGGCGGGUUAGUAAGUCAGUGGUGAAAUCCUACAGCUUAACUGUAGAACUGCCAUUGAUACUGCUAAUCUUGAGUUAGGAAGAGAGAGACGGAAUUCCAGGUGUAGUGGUGAAAUACGUAGAUAUCUGGAAGAACACCCGUGGCGAAGGCGGUCUCUUGGUCCUAUACUGACGCUGAGGCUCGAAAGCGUGGGGAGCAAACAGGAUUAGAUACCCUGGUAGUCC
rnacentral:rRNA from 1 species